rfam:Marinobacter sp. AC-23 IonXpress_010_rawlib.basecaller_c23, whole genome shotgun sequence.
UAGCCGGGCUGUAGAGGUGCGCGGUUCGGCCGGAUUUAUCAGCACCGCAAACAUGAGGUGAGUUAUGGCUCUUUCUGCCAAUGAAAAAGCACAGAUCGUUCAAGAUUAUCAGCAAGCUGAU